rnacentral:lncRNA from 1 species
AACCUGGAGUUCCUUGUGGGAUAUCGUCUCUCACCGCCAUGCACAUCAACAUAAAAUGGGCUAUAUCGAAAUAUGGAUACAUCUUCAGUUUUGUUACUGUUGUAGCAAUGUCAAGAAAAGUCUGUGGAUCCAUGUUUGCAGUUUUUAUUUCUACUCUCCUCUUUCUUGAUGAGUGCUCGGUAGCCGGCGGAAACUGCUACUGCCACCUCUGAUGGAUAUCAAAU